rnacentral:tRNA from 1 species
GCAUGCCCGGCCGAGUGGUUAAGUCGUUGCUUGUUAACCGAGAGGUCCCGAGUUCGAUCCUUGUUCCACGCG